rnacentral:rRNA from 1 species
UACGUAGGGCGCAAGCGUUGUCCGGAAUUAUUGGGCGUAAAGAGCUCGUAGGUGGUUUGUCGCGUCUGUUGUGAAAGCCCGGGGCUUAACUCCGGGUUUGCAGUGGAUACGGGCAGGCUAGAGGCAGGUAGGGGAGAACGGAAUUCCCGGUGUAGCGGUGAAAUGCUUAGAUAUGAUACAGAACACCGAUUGCGAAGGCAGAUCACUAAACCAUUAUUGACGCUGAGGCACGAAAGCGUGGGGAUCAAACAGG